UUUACCAGUACAUCCCUUUUGACUCUACCUUCCCCAAACAGUUUAGUUAUUAAUCUAAUACAGGCAAUACAUUUUCCAUUUAUCUUUGAUUUUUGUUUUUAUUUUGGUUAACUGCAUUUCUAUAAAUGGGAUUUGUUGUUUCAGCCAUUGUAAUUAAAAUACACCUGCUGACUUAAGUCACAAAUUCUAAACAGGUGCCUGUCUCUGUUUUAUUUUCACCAUACAGGCUAUUUUUCCCAACAUGAUUGUUAUGUAAUAGGAAUCUGAGGGAGGGCAGAUGGAAGUACUCUCCCAAGCUCUGACCUCAAGCCAAGCUCUUCACACUGGAGAUCCCCAGAUGAGAUUCUACUCUCAGAAGACUGGAUAAGUUCAAAACAUGAUUCGACUAAUUGUCAUGUCAUGGAAUUAUUACUUCAG